rnacentral:rRNA from 1 species
ACGAAGGGGGCUAGCGUUGCUCGGAAUUACUGGGCGUAAAGGGAGCGUAGGCGGACUGUUUAGUCAGAGGUGAAAGCCCAGGGCUCAACCUUGGAAUUGCCUUUGAUACUGGCAGUCUUGAGUACGGAAGAGGUAUGUGGAACUCCGAGUGUAGAGGUGAAAUUCGUAGAUAUUCGGAAGAACACCAGUGGCGAAGGCGACAUACUGGUCCGUUACUGACGCUGAGGCUCGAAAGCGUGGGGAGCAAACAGG